rnacentral:rRNA from 1 species
GACGAGCGCUGGCGGCGUGCUUAACACAUGCAAGUCGAACGGAAAGGCCCUGCUUUUGUGGGGUGCUCGAGUGGCGAACGGGUGAGUAACACGUGAGUAACCUGCCCUUGACUUUGGGAUAACUUCAGGAAACUGGGGCUAAUACCGGAUAGGAGCUCCUGCUGCAUGGUGGGGGUUGGAAAGUUUCGGCGGUUGGGGAUGGACUCGCGGCUUAUCAGCUUGUUGGUGGGGUAGUGGCUUACCAAGGCUUUGACGGGUAGCCGGCCUGAGAGGGUGACCGGACACAUUGGGACUAGGAAACGGCCAGGAGUCACACGGGGGGAAGCAGCGGGGAAGAUGGCACAAGGGGCGGAAGCAUGAGGCAGCAACGGCGCGGGCGGGAGGACGGUCUGCGGGUUGGAAACCGCGUCCGCCGGUGACGAAGCGGGAGUGACGGUAAGGGGUAAAGAAGCACCGGCUAACUACGUG